GAAGAAGAAGAAGAGGAACGAACGGGACGCCUAAGGAGUCUUACGGGCCAGUUUUUUUACCCCAAUUCACAGUUUCCCUUUCUAUCCUGUGCUUUCUAUGGUGAAAGAAAAAGAUAAGAAGUAGAAGAAGAAGAAGAAGAA
rnacentral:lncRNA from 1 species